UUCCAAAGGCAGAUCCCUGCUGGAACAUUUCAACCCGCCUGCCACGUCAGUUUGCUUCCACCAUCCUCCCUCGCUCCUCUUUCUCUUCUGCACUUUCUCCUUCUCUCGCUCUUUCCGCCACAGAGGACUGGUAGAAACUGAACGGUACCAGUUGUUUUGAGGCGUAGUCAGACUGACGGGUUAAAGGUUUGUCUUUAGCUCUGGUCAGCGAUAUCUUUUGAAGCUCUUUUUGUUUCGCUGAGAGAGGGGACAUCUUUGCCAAGGCCUGGGCUGCUCUGACCGAACUAAUGGGCAGUGACCUGCAGACGGAGCGACCCCGCGGGCCUUCCCCCCUCCUCACCCCCCCGCCUGCCCAGUGUUCAGACUACCUGUUCAUCAGGCUGAAGCUGAACAGUAGUCUGCACAUUGGUUAGGCUGGGCCGGGACACACACACACUCAGGACACAUCUAACCACCAGCCAGCAGGGGCUCUGGUGAGAGGCUCUGGCCGGAUCUGAUUCUCCACCAUGACAAUGAGAGGGAGGAGGGAGCAUGCAAUGCAGAUCAUAUAUCAGCCCAUGGAGUAGUAGCAGAAUCUUUCUGGCAGUUUGUAUUGUAUUAUUUAGUGUUGUACUUAUCCCAGUGUUAGACACUCACCUCCUCAUCCUUGUACCAGGAUAGUGACUCUGCGGUCAGGAUGAACCAGUACUCCUUGGAGCCUCCCUUCAUGAUGCUGAUGUUGAUGGUGAGCCAGCCUUUGCGGAUCACCUGUUAGGGGAGAUAGGGGUGGGGGAACAGGGGAGCGAGGGGUGGUGGGGGACAAGGUAUACCAGGAAGAUGGAGGGAAAACAUGUCAUUAAAGUACUCAUGAUUUACCUCCUGGAGAUCUUGUGAUAUGACACUCUUAACUGAGUUUUGGUUGAUCCUGUCUUACCAAUAUAAGCACUAAGAUGUUCUACAUACUCUAAAUUUACUCUUCUAUUCUGAGUAUAAAGAUUUACAAUUUAAACAAUGUUUCUGAACAUGAACCCUGAUGUAUACAGUAAGCAUACAAAAGUAUCAUUCAGAAAGGAUGACUAACUGAAGGGGUGGAGAUUUAAACAGGAAACCUCAAACAAACCUUAAUAACCUCAAUACUAACUAAUAUGGGUCAUCCAGACCAAAUGGGACCCACACAGGGUCAGGGAUCAAGGGUCGGCGGUGGUAUGUUAGAGUGAGCGGGUCAGUAAAAGCUUGCCUAUACACGGUUAGCCAAAACAGACUAGGGUUAGUGGGUUAACUGGGCAGAGUCGUCAGACAUACACUCCAGUGUAGGGCACUGUAGGAGGCUAAACGCCUAUCUAAGGAACAGGAGAUAAAAAGAGAUGGAGAGGCAAGAGGUGGGCCAGACUGUGGGAGAGGAAUACAGCGAUAUGCAGAGACAGUGGAGACGGGUAGAUUGAGCCACAGCUCACGGAGCGGACGGGUAGAUAGAGAGGGGUGAAAAAAAUAAAAGGAGGAUUUAAGGAAGGGAGAGGGAGGGAGGAAAGAGAGAUGAGUCAGGGUUGAGAGGUUCUUUCUGUAGACAAGUUGUAUUAGAGCAGGGGUCUUCAACCUUUUCAUGCCCAGGGACGCCGUCGCAGGCAAACCGACAACGCAGGGAACCCCAUCCUAAGUUAGCAAACAUUGUUUUCACGACUUGUCUUAUCAGGUGAAUGAUAAUGUCAAGCAGAAGUAAUAACAUUUUAAAAUGAAUAGAUUUGGUAAAGAGUUUUUCAUUAUUUUGACCUCGCCACAUUAUAACUGGAAGAGGAAGUGUAAACUAACAGCCUAUUCGCUAGAAAAGGUAACUCCAAACACAUUUUUGCUAAGAACAACUGUUUAGCGCUGGUUAAACAAAGGUUAGCCAUGUCUGGCCAAAAAUGUAUGUCCAAGUCAACAAAGCUUUGCAGCAGCCAGCAGCACUUGCCACAGUGGAAGUCUAUUCACAGGUGCUGUUUCAAAGCCUAUGUCAGAUACACCAGCGAGUGUAAUUAUCUUUAACGAGUGUAAUCUGUUCAAUAUUAGGAGUUGAAAAAUAAAGUUGAUAUCAGAAAGAUA